rfam:Asian citrus Psyllid, Diaphorina citri - Florida Strain, whole genome shotgun sequence.
UAGCUUGGUUGGUGGAGCGUCUGCCUUGUAAGCGCUAGGCCGCGGGUUCGAUUCCCGC